UACGAAGGGGGCUAGCGUUGCUCGGAAUCACUGGGCGUAAAGCGCACGUAGGCGGAUUGCUAAGUCAGGGGUGAAAUCCUGGAGCUCAACUCCAGAACUGCCCUUGAUACUGGCGGUCUCGAGUCCGGGGAGAGGUGAGUGGAACUGCGAGUGUAGAGGUGAAAUUCGUAGAUAUUCGCAAGAACACCAGUGGCGAAGGCGGACUCACUG
rnacentral:rRNA from 1 species